rnacentral:rRNA from 1 species
GACGAACGCUGGCGGCGUGCCUAAUACAUGCAAGCCGAACGAGCGGCGGACGGGUGAGUAAUGUAUGGGGACUGCCCGAUAGAGGGGGAUAACUACUGGAAACGGUGGCUAAUACCGCAUACUAUCGGAUAACCCAUAUGGGAUUAGCUAGUAGGUGGGGUAAAGGCUCACCUAGGCUACGAUCUCUAGCUGGUCUGAGAGGAUGAUGAGACACACUGGGACUGAGACACGGCCCAGAUUACUACGGAGGCAGCAGUGGGGAAUAUUGCACAGUGGGCGCAAGCCUGAUGCAGCCAUGCCGAGUGUAUGAAGAAGUCCUUAGGGUUGUAAAGUACUUUCAACAGGGAGGCGUUACCCGCAGAAGAAGCACCGGCUAACUCCGUGCCAGCAGCCGCGGUAAUUC